rnacentral:lncRNA from 1 species
ACAUUUUUUACUGUUACUCCUUAGUCUGAAGAUAGUUCUGCCAAUUAAUUUAAUUUUUUUAGUCUUUCUUUUAGUCAAGAUGAGUGAUAAACCAGACUUGUCUGAAGUGGAGAAGUUUGACAAAUCAAAACUGAAGAAAACUAAUACUGAAGAAAAAAAUACUCUUCCCUCAAAGGAAAGUAAGUAAUGAGGGAUUUUUAAUUGACAUGCCAACAAAGGUGGAAGUUGUUCAGUAAAUAAACCCAUAUUCUAGUAAAUUUUGCCACAAAAUGGGCAGUAAUUAGAGUAUCGUUGUAUUUAAAGCAACAGUUAAAAAUGUCAAUAGUUGACUUUGUUAUUGGGGUUAUGUAAAUGGUUCUCAUAUGAUAGGCCUUAGUAGUAUGUGGGAAUAAAAAACUAGUUUUUUUGGGGAAAAUUACUAAUAACCACAUUAAAUCCAAUCUUAGAAUAUUGGACUAAACACUGCAUUUAGAAAUUUCAGUCUGUGAUCUCACCCCUAAAGAACCAUGACCUUCUCUACCUGAUGAUAAUAGGGAAGAACAUGUAUAGAUCUUGGAUAUACUUAAGAUUCCCAGACUUCAAGGGAUCAGUUUUACCCUCUAGAGUUACAGCCUUCUGAAGAAAUUCCAAACAUAUUUACAAAUGCUCUGGGACACUUUUGUCAUGUCAGCAUUUUUUGGGAAUUUCAAAAAAUAUCUGGACGUAUAAUUUCCUUAUUGUAUAGUGAUUAAAAAUGUGGAUGAAAAUGCUUUGUUUUCUCUUCAGUCUCAAAUAAUCUAUGGAAAAUGGCAAUAGAAUAAAUAAUAAAUACUCUCAAAUGAAAAAAAAAAGCCCACAGUUGAUGUAGAUUCUAAUGUAUGUUCAGGUGGUUAAAAAGCAUGCACACACUCAUACUAUGAGGAUUUGUGCUUAGUGCUUUGGCAUCCUAAAUUUAAAGUGUGUAUGGCAGGCUUAAGUGACUUAGUAAAGAACUCAGUGUGUGUGUGAGUGUGUGUGGGGGUGCUGUGGAUUGAACCCAGGGACUCCUGCAUAUUGGGUAAGCACUCUGCCACUGAGCUGUACCCCCUACCCAGUAGCAAAGUGUUUUUCUGGAAGGUACUGAACUUAAUCUUAGGAAAACACUCUCUUAAUGAUUUUUUGUUGCUUUUUUUCCCCUUCUUAGCUAUCCAGCAGGAGAAAGAGUGUGUCCAAACAUCAUAAAAUGGGGAUCUCCUCCCAAGAGCAAAUUUCAACAUUGAUGGAGAGUCUUGGUUUUAGUAAACCCAUGUAUUCGUAGAAAUGUUAGGCAUCUAUGGCUUCUCACCUGUACUUUGUGGCUAAGAGGUCAACACUAGUCAAUGUUCCCUUAAAUUUAUUUUUAAACUUCUCCUUGGUACAUAAAUAAUUUCCAAAUGAAAGAUGCUGUCAAUAGUCUCACCAUUGAUGAUCUUUGUGUGUGUAGUCUUUGUAAACCCCAUAAAGCAAGCCAAUUUUAACUUAGAAUGGGUACCUCCAUUGCUUCUUAAUAUUCAUGAAGUUACAUACUUUUGCAGCUUCUCGCAGUUUUCAUUUCUGUACCAAUAAAAUAAUAAACACAGUCACUGUUUUCCUGUGGUUCA